rnacentral:rRNA from 1 species
GACGGAGGAUGCAAGCGUUAUCCGGAAUGAUUGGGCGUAAAGCGUCCGCAGGUGGCAGUUCAAGUCUGCUGUCAAAGACCGGGGCUUAACUUCGGAAAGGCAGUGGAAACUGAACAGCUAGAGUAUGGUAGGGGCAGAGGGAAUUCCUGGUGUAGCGGUGAAAUGCGUAGAGAUCGGGAAGAACACCGGUGGCGAAAGCGCUCUGCUGGACCACAACUGACACUCACAGGACGAAAGCUAGGGGAGCGAAUGGG